GCUCAAGCUACGAAGGGCAUGCGGUGGAUGCCUUGGCGCUGGCGAGCGAUGAAGGACGUGGAAGGCUGCGAUAAGCUCCGGGGAGUUGCCUAGCAAACCCUGAUCCGGAGAUUUCCGAAUGGGGAAACCUGUUGUGAGGAAACUCACAUCAUCCUGUGCUGAAUUCAUAGGUGCAGGAAGCCAACCGAGGGAAGUGAAACAUCUCAGUACCUCGAGGAAUAUAAAUCAACCGAGAUUCCCCUAGUAGCGGCGAGCGAAAGGGGACCAUGGCUAAACCGAAAGUACAUGUACUUUCGGGGUUGUGGGGCGGUCAUACGGGACCUUAGUUGUUAGUUGAGCGGUCUGGAAAGGCCGGGCAUAGAGGGUGAUACCCCCGUAAGCAAAAACAACGAAGGCUCAGACCUGUCCCCGAGUACCACAGGGCACGUGAAACCCGGUGGGAAUCUGGGUGGACCAUCAUCCAAGCCUAAAUAUCUGCCAGCGACCGAUAGCGCAUAGUACCGUGAGGGAAAGGUGAAAAGUACCCCGGUGAGGGGAGUGAAAGAGUACCUGAAACCGCAUGUCUACAACCGGUGGAAGGGCUAUGGUUCUUCGGAACAAUGCCCGACCGCGUACCUUUUGCAUCAUGGGUUGGCGAGUCAAUCUUUGCAGCGAGGUUAAGCCGUUACAGGUGUAGCCGAAGCGAAAGCGAGUCUGAAUAGGGCGUAAAGUUGCAGGGAUUGGACCCGAAGCCUGUCGAUCUACCCAUGGCCAGAGUGAAGCGAAGGUAAAACUUCGUGGAGGCUCGAACCGGUGAAAGUUGAAAAUUUCUCGGAUGAGCUGUGGGUAGGGGUGAAAGGCCAAUCAAGGCAGGUAAUAGCUGGUUCUCCCCGAAAGAUAUUGAGGUAUCGCCUCGAGGAAUUCAGUGUCGGAGGUAGAGCACUGAAUGGGCUAGGGCGCUCACCAGCGUACCAAACCCAAUCAAACUCCGAAUGCCGACAACUGUUACCUCGGGAGACAGUCCAUGGGUGAUAAGGUCCGUGGGCAAGAGGGAAACAUCCCAGAUCAUCAGCUAAGGUCCCUAAGUUCUGGCUAAGUGGAAAAGGAUGUGGAAGCGCAUUGACAACCAGGAGGUUGGCUUAGAAGCAGCAAUCCUUUAAAGAAAGCGUAAUAGCUCACUGGUCAAGUGAAUCUGCGCCGAAGAUUUAACGGGGCUCAAGCCAGGCACCGAAGCUAUGAGUUCCAGGUUUACCUGGAGCGGUAGGGGAGCACUGUAGUUGCUGCGAAGGUCUAUCGAUAAGAAGGGCUGGAGCGUCUACAGGAGAUUAUGCCAACAUGAGUAGCGAUAAAACAGGUGAGAAACCUGUUCGCCGAAAACCCAAGGGUUCCUGGGGCAGGUUAAUCCUCCCAGGGUCAGUCGGGACCUAAGCCGAGGCCGAAAGGCGUAGGCGAUGGAAAGCAGGUUAAUAUUCCUGCACCGUCUUAUAUUCGUUGAAGCUAGGGGGGACGGAGUAGGGCAGCUCAGCCGGGUGAUGGAUGUCCCGGUUCUUAGCCCGUAGGCGGGAGUUGUAGGAUCAAAACGCAACUCUAUCAACGCUGAGAGGAGAGAGGCUCCAAUUCUUCGGAUGCGGAGUAACUGAGUGAUCCCAUGCUUCCAAGAAAAGCCUCGAGUGGAGAAUAUAGGAUGCUCGUACCGUAAACCGACUCAGGUGGGUGGGGAGAGUAUCCCAAGGCGCUUGAGAGAACCGUGGUUAAGGAACUCUGCAUAUUGGCACCGUAACUUAGGGAUAAGGUGUGCCUCCAAGGUGAAGGACCUCGCGUCUGGAGCCAAUGGGGGUCGCAGUGACCAGGGGCUGACGACUGUUUACCAAAAACACAGGUCUCUGCUAAGUCGCAAGACGAAGUAUAGGGGCUGACGCCUGCCCGGUGCCGGAAGGUUAAGGGGAUCAGUUAGGAGUAAUCCGAAGCUGUGAGCCGAAGCCCCGGUAAACGGCGGCCGUAACUAUAACGGUCCUAAGGUAGCGAAAUUCCUUGGCGGGUAAGUUCCGUCCUGCACGAAUGGCGUAACGAUUGGCCCACUGUCUCAACCACGGGCUCAGCGAAAUUGAAGUCACGGCGCAGAUGCCGUGUUCCCGCAGAAAGACGGAAAGACCCCGUGAACCUUUACUGUAGCUUGGCAGUGACACUCGAAUUGGUUUGUGUAGGAUAGGUGGGAGACUUUGAAACCGGGUCGCUAGAUUCGGUGGAGCCAACCUUGAAAUACCACCCUGAUCAGUUUGGGUGUCUAACCUAGGUCCGUUAUCCGGGCCAGGGACAUUGCCUGGUGGGCAGUUUGACUGGGGCGGUCGCCUCCAAAAACGUAACGGAGGCGCGCGAUGGUUCCCUCAGGCUGAUUGGAAACCAGCCGUCGAGUGUAAUGGCAAAUGGGAGCUUAACUGCGAGACCGACGGGUCGAGCAGGUGCGAAAGCAGGUCAUAGUGAUCCGGUGGUUCCGUAUGGAAGGGCCAUCGCUUAACGGAUAAAAGGUACUCCGGGGAUAACAGGCUGAUACCGCCCAAGAGUUCACAUCGACGGCGGUGUUUGGCACCUCGAUGUCGGCUCGUCACAUCCUGGGGCUGUAGUUGGUCCCAAGGGUUUGGCUGUUCGCCAAUUAAAGUGGCACGCGAGCUGGGUUCAGAACGUCGUGAGACAGUUCGGUCCCUAUCUUCUGUGGGCGUAGGAGACUUGAAGAGAGCUAUCCUUAGUACGAGAGGACCGGGAUGGACGUACCGCUGGUGUACCGGUUGUAUCGCCAGAUGCAUUGCCGGGUAGCUAAGUACGGAAAGGAUAACCGCUGAAGGCAUCUAAGCGGGAAGCCUCCUCUAAGACUAGGUCUCCCAAGGGACUCGUUCCCUAAUAAGGUUCGUCCGAGACUAGGACGUUGAUAGGCCGGGUGUGGAAGCACAGUAAUGUGUGAAGCUAACCGGUACUAAUUAACCGUUCGGCUUGGCUUU
rfam:Deltaproteobacteria bacterium RIFOXYA12_FTLL_58_15 rifixya3_full_scaffold_3164, whole genome shotgun sequence.